CCCCUAGAUGUUCUGGGCCGCACGCGCGCUACACUGAACAGUUCAACAAGUCUUAACCUUGGCCGAUAGGUCUGGGUAAUCUUUGAACGCUGUUCGUGAUUGGGAUAGACCUUUGCAAUUAUGGGUCUUCAACGAGGAAUUCCUAGUAAACGCAGGUCAUCAGCUUGCAUUGAUUACGUCCCUGCCCUUUGUACACACCGCCCGUCGCACCUACCGAUUGAAUGGUCCGGUGAAAUCUCGGGACGGCGGCUUGGUCGCUUGCGUCCGACUGCUGAAACUUGAUUAAACCAUAUCAUUUAGAGGAAGGUGAANUCGUANCA
rnacentral:rRNA from 1 species